UACGAAGGGGGGCUAGCGUUGUUCGGAUUUACUGGGCGUAAAGCGCGUGUAGGCGGCAAGCCAAGUCGGGUGUGAAAACUCGAGGCUCAACCUCGAGAUGUCGGCGGAAACCGUCUGGCUAGAGUCCGGAAGAGGAGAGUGGAAUUCCUGGUGUAGCGGUGAAAUGCGCAGAUAUCAGGAAGAACACCUAUGGCGAAGGCAGCUCUCUGGGACGGUACUGACGCUGAGACGCGAAAGCGUGGGGAGCGAACAGG
rnacentral:rRNA from 1 species